UACGGGGGGGGCAAGCGUUGUUCGGAAUUACUGGGCGUAAAGGGCUCGUAGGCGGCCAACUAAGUCAGACGUGAAAUCCCUCGGCUUAACCGGGGAACUGCCUCUGAUACUGGAUGGCUUGAGAUUGGGAGAGGGAUGCGGAAUUCCAGGUGUAGCGGUGAAAUGCGUAGAUAUCAGGAGGAACACCGGUGGCGAAGGCGGCUCUCUGGACGGUGACUGACGCUGAGACGCGAAAGCGUGGGGAGCAAACAGG
rnacentral:rRNA from 1 species